UCCCUGCAGUCGCAUCCCUCCCACCACGUCCUGUCCUCUUCCUCCCUGCCCCGCCCCGCCCCGCUUUCCGAGGCGAUUUGUCUUGUCGCCUGUCCGUCCUGGCCCCGCUCCGGGCUCCCACCCGCGGGCGGGCGGAGCGGUGAGAGGCGGAGGCCUCGCGCUUCCGUCCUGCGCUGGGCUGAGCCUCGCAGCUGCAGCGCUACCGCGAGCAGGGCUGUUUCUGGAUCCGAGGAGAGAGCGCAGAGGCCGGGGCGAGGGUAUUUAUAGAGCCCACCUUGGAGAGCAGGGAUGCUCAUAUCCCUGGAACCGUCCCCCGCUUAGAAGUUUCUAAAGAUAGACCAGUGUGGCAUCUGGUAUGAGACAAGGUGCACUAAUUCUUCUUAAAUCCACCAAGAAUUUUCUUCUAAUAAAUGCCGACCAGUGCAACAAACAAACGUCUCCGAAAGCUUGCGCAUGAAGCACUGUGCUCAGUGACAUGCCCUGAGCCACGGAAUCCUGGCACCAUCUCCGUGAAGUAGGUGCUGUCAUGCCCAUUUUACAGAUGGAGAAACUAAGACUCAGUGACGUGCCUAAUUGCUCUAAACUGGUGGAGUUAGGAUGCUGCUCACCCAGCUCAGCCUAAGAGACCGGAGGGGAAGGUCUGCAAGAAAUUAUGUGAUCCCUGAGGCCCAGACCAUGCCUUUGCCCCUCCCACCCUCACUCCUUCCCUGCCGGCAGGUAGGUGAGGGGAGGCAUUCAGGAAAACGUGCUGACAGGAACCGCAUCCGCCGCACGCAAUGCACUGGUGUGCCCGGAGGGGACGCCAGGGUCAUGCUUUGUGAUUCUGCUGCUCCGGGGCUCUCAGACAACCGCCCCUCUCCCGCUGCGCUACCCAGUCCUCCAGGAUGUACAGAGGAGGCUCUUUGAAGAAAGAGAUGAGGAAACUGAGGCAUAGAGAGUUCAGAGUUGCCCAACACCAUACAGAAAGUAGAGUGGGAAUUCCAACCCAGGUUUGCUGGAGUUCAGAGCCUACACAUCUAAACACAACCCCAUUCAGCAAUGGUGACUGGAGGACAACACAUUUGGUGAGUGAAUAAUUGUACAAAUGAAUGAAUGAGUGAA